rnacentral:rRNA from 1 species
UACGAAGGGGGCUAGCGUUAAUCGGAAUUACUGGGCGUAAAGCGUGCGCAGGCGGUUUUGUAAGUCUGACGUGAAAUCCCCGGGCUCAACCUGGGAAUUGCGUUGGAGACUGCAAGGCUAGAAUCUGGCAGAGGGGGGUAGAAUUCCACGUGUAGCAGUGAAAUGCGUAGAGAUGUGGAGGAACACCGAUGGCGAAGGCAGCCCCCUGGGUCAAGAUUGACGCUCAUGCACGAAAGCGUGGGGAGCAAACAGG